GGCGUGCCUAAUACAUGCAAGUCGAGCGAGCUUGCCUAUUGAAAUUCUUCGGAAUGGACAUAGAUACAAGUUAGCGGCGGAUGGGUGAGUAAACGCGUGGGUAACCCUGCCCUUAAGGUCUGGGGAUACCAUUUGGAAACAGAUGCUAAUACCGGAUAAAAGCUACUUUCGCAUGAAAGAAGUUUAAAAGGCGGCGUAAAGCUGUCGCUAAAGGGAUGGGACCUGCGAUGCAUUAGCUAGUUGGUAAGGUAACGGCUUACCAAGGCGAUGAUGCAUAGCCCGAGUUGAGAGACUGAUCGGCCACAUUGGGACUGAGACACGGCCCAAAAACUCCUACGGGAGGCAGCAGUAGGGAAUCUUCCACAAUGGACGCAAGUCUGAUGGAGCAACGCCGCGUGAGUGAAGAAGGUUUUCGGAUCGUAAAGCUCCGUUGUUGGUGAAGAAGGAUAGAGGUAGUAACUGGCCUUUAUUUGACGGUAAUCAACCAGAAAGUCACGGCUAACUACGUGCCAGCAGCCGCGGUAAU
rnacentral:rRNA from 1 species